AGCUUUGCACAGUGGCAGUAUCAUAGCCAGUGAGGUUUAUCUGAGGCGCGAUUAUUGCUAGUUGAAAACUUUUCCCAGAAUAGAGAGCCCAGAGAUAAACCCAUGAACAAAUGGGCUCCUUAUCUUUGACAAAAG